rnacentral:rRNA from 1 species
CCCUUAGAUGUUCUGGGCUGCACGCGCGCUACACUGAUGCGCUCAACGAGUUUUAACCUUGCCUGGAAAGGUUGGGUAAUCUUUUUAAAACGCAUCGUGAUGGGGAUAGAUUAUUGCAAUUAUUAAUCUUCAACGAGGAAUUCCUAGUAAGCGCGAGUCAUCAGCUCGUGCUGAUUACGUCCCUGCCCUUUGUACACACCGCCCGUCGCUCCUACCGAUUGAACGUUCCGAUGAAUACCAUGGAUUGAGAGUCUGAAUGGGUUCGCCUAUUUCUGCUUCUCGAGAAGUGGAGUAAAUCUUAGCGUUUAGAGGAAGGAGAAGUCGUAACA